GAUGAACGCUGGCGGCGUGCCUAAUACAUGCAAGUCGAGCGAACAGACGCCUAUCUUGCUCCUCUGACGUUAGCCGCGUACGUGUGAGUAACACGUCGAUACCUUACCUAUAAGACUGCUUUAACUUCGUGAAACCGGUGCUAAUACCGGAUCAUAUCUUCAUCCUCAUGGUUCAAUAGCUUAAGCCGGUUUUGCUGUCCCUUCUACUUAUCUCCUCGGUGCUUUAGCUAUUUGGUAAGGUAACGGCUUACCAUGGCGACGAUGCGUUGCCGACCUGCCAAGGUGAUCGGCCACACUGGAACUGAGAGGCGGUACAGACACCUACGGGAGGCAGAAGUAGGGAAUCGUCGGAAAUGGGCGAAAGACUGACGGAGCAACGGAGCGUGAGUGAUGAAGGGCUGCGGAUCGGAAAACGCUGUUAGUGGGGAAGAACAAAUGUGUAAGGAACGAUGCACGUCGUGACGGUACCUAAUCAGAAAGCAACGGCUAACUACGUG
rnacentral:rRNA from 1 species